UACGAAGGUCCCAAGCGUUAUCCGGAUUUAUUGGGUUUAAAGGGUGCGUAGGCGGGCUAUUAAGUCAGUGGUGAAAGCCCCAAGCUUAACUUGGGAACUGCCAUUGAUACUGAUGGUCUUGAGUAUAUUUGAGGUGGGCGGAAUGUGUCAUGUAGCGGUGAAAUGCUUAGAUAUGACACAGAACACCGAUUGCGAAGGCAGCUCACUAAACUGUAACUGACGCUGAGGCACGAAAGCGUGGGGAGCAAACAGG
rnacentral:rRNA from 1 species